rfam:Lactobacillus aviarius subsp. araffinosus DSM 20653 NODE_73, whole genome shotgun sequence.
GGAGGAUUACCCAAGUCUGGCUGAAGGGAACGGUCUUGAAAACCGUCAGGUCGGGGCAACUCGGCGCGGGAGUUCGAAUCUCCCAUCCUCCU